GCAUGUGCAUCAGUGCUGUAAAGGACAUGGAAAAGAUUGGAUGUGGACCCCCAGGACAUGCAGCCUUUGGGGCUGGCCAAAGAGGCUGGGAGCUCCAGAGACUUCUCUGGCACAAUCAUCCUGCUGUAUUCUUCCAGAUGGGUGUGGGAAAAGCUGAGCACCGUCUCCUGGAAGCAGCAAACACAAACCCGCGGCGGCAACAGAUGCUGGACCUGCUGCCCCACCUGGGAGCGCCGUGGAAGAGCCUGCUGCUGCCUGGCCGCUCCUCUUCCCUGCCGUGUGUCUGGGGAUGGGCUCAGCCAUGGCAGGUUGGUGCCCCUGGGGCUUGGCCAUAGGAUGCCUCUAAAUCCAGCGCUGCAGGCUCAGCUUCCCCUCUGCCCCCCGCCGCCUGCAGACCUGCUGGGCGGAGGGAUGCGUCUCCUCACCUUGCAGCCUCUCUGCUUGGGUGAUGCUUCCCCUUUCCUGCCCUUUCCCCUGCACCUGGUGCCCUCUCCAGUGCUGUUUGCAGUGGAUCUCAUACUUACUGAUCCACCAGCCAGUGCUGGUGGCCCAGGUGGUGAAAGGUGUGGGCUUUGUUGUUCCUCUCAAAAACUGCAGAGGAGACAGAGAGGGACCCUUGGAAGUGCAGUGGAUGCACGUGUAGGACCAGCGUGUGCCAUGCUCACCUCUGUUCUGUUCUGUUCUGUUCUGUUCUGUUCUGUUCUGUUCUGUUCUGUUCUGUUCUAUUCUAUUCUAUUCUAUUCUAUCCCAUCCCAUCCCAUCCCAUCCCAUCCUAUCCCAUCCCCAGGAGCUGACAGAAAUCCUGCCUGGUGGAAGGGGUGUAGGGAUGAGGGCUCUGCUCUGGAUUUCUUUCUGUGCAGGAGCACGAGCUGCCCUAGACUUGCUUUUUUUGCCACCAAAUUUGUGACAGGAUGCACAGCAUGGCUCCAUUUCCCGACCCAGCCUCUUUCUCUCUCCCCUCCUUCCGUGCCUGCCCCAUGUUUUUAUGGAUCUGGAGGGUUUGUCUCAGUGGGAGCUCAAGUGUUACCCGAUCCUUGUGGUAUGGGUACACUGGAAAACAAACAGACAUGGUCCUGGGGUGUGUGCAUCCAUGAUGACCCAUGGGUUGUCCUUCUUAUGUGUUUAUGUGCAUCCCUGUCCCCCUCUGCGUGUUCCCUGCAUCUUCCUUCACAAUUUCAUUUCUUUUGCCUCUCCUCAGUGCCCUUUCUUCCUCUUCUCUCACCCUCUCCCUCUUUCUCCUGCCCUCCUCCUCAUUCUCUUUUUCUCAUUUGAUAUUCAUGCAUGAAUAAAUUCAAUUGCAUUUUUUCCCUGUUCCCCCUG
ensembl:lncRNA